AUGAACGUUGGCGGCGUGGAUUAGGCAUGCAAGUCGAACGGGCCGCAAGGCCAGUGGCGAAAGGGAGAGGAAUACGUAGAUACCCACCCUCAGGUCCAGGAUAGCCGCGGGAAACUGCGGGUAAUACUGGAUAAUAUCUCCGGAUCAAAGGUGUGAUUCCGCCGGAGGACGGGUCUGCGUCCUAUCAGCUAGUUGGUGAGGUAAUGGCUCACCAAGGCUAUAACGGGUACUGGGUGUGAGAGCACGACCCAGCUCACUGGGACUGAGAUACGGCCCAGACACCUACGGGUGGCUGCAGUCGAGAAUCUUCGGCAAUGGGCGCAAGCCUGACCGAGCGACGCCGCGUGUGGGAUGAAGGCCUUCGGGUUGUAAACCACUGUCGGGGGGGAUGAAAUACUUAAGAGUUAUCUCUUAGGCUUGACAUAUCCUCGGAGGAAGGACGGGCUAAGUUCGU
rnacentral:rRNA from 1 species